AUCUAGGAUCCCAAUGCUGAGGGUCUAACUAAAAAGAUCUGAGGAGACCUUCCUAGCCCUGGAAGAGCAUUUUCUUGUUUAUUGGCAAAGCUGUCACCAUUUAAUCGGUAUCAGAUUCUGACUUGCACAAGUAACAUUC